UGGGAAGAUAUUGCACAAUGGGCGCAAGCCUGAUGCAGCGACGCCGCGUGCGGGAUGAAGGCCUUCGGGUUGUAAACCGCUUUCAGCAGGGACGAAGCGGAAGUGACGGUACCUGCAGAAGAAGCGCCGGCUAACUACGUGCCAGCAGCCGCGGUAACACGUAGGGCGCGAGCGUUGUCCGGAAUUAUUGGGCGUAAAGAGCUCGUAGGCGGCCUGUUGCGUCCGCUGUGAAAGCCCGGGGCUUAACCCGGCUGCGCGAGUGGAUACGGGCAGGCUAGAGGUAGGUAGGGGAGAAUGGAAUUCCCGGUGUAGCGGUGAAAUGCGCAGAUAUCAGGAGGAACACCGGUGGUGUAGACGGCUUACUGGACCACGACUGACACUGAGGCACGAAAGCGUGGGUAGCAAACAGGAUUAGAUACC
rnacentral:rRNA from 1 species